UUGCAUAAUCAAUCAAAUAUUACGAAAGAUAUUGACAUUAAAAAAAAAAUUAGUAUUACACCUUACACAAGAUAGUAACAUGUUACUACCUAAAGUAUUACUGGCUAAGGUGUUACUGUCUAAAACAAUACUGCCCAAAGCAUUACUACUCAAAAUGAUACAGUACAAUACGUUAUGGUACAAAAAAAAUUUACUUUAAAUUAAUACAUAAGAAUUAUUUUUAACAAUAAAUUCUUAUGCAAAGAGCAAAAUGUAGAUACUAGAUUUUGGUUAAUACUGUUACUCUAAAGAAUUACAUUACAAUAUAAUGUUGUACAGAGAACAACCAGAACAAGUGAAGUGCUACUUCACGCAGAAUAAGUAAAACAAGUGAAGUGCUACUUCACGUAGAAUAAGUAGAACAAGUGAAGCGUUACUUCACGCAGAACAACUAGAACAAGCGAAAUGCUACUUAACGCAGAAUAACUAGAAUAAAUAAAACACUAUUCUAUAUGGAACAAUUAAUGGAAGUAGAACAACUACUUCGAAUAGAAUGACCACUUCACUUGGAUGACAGUGAAAGCAACUCGGAAUAAGUGGCAGGGUUCAUGGGUUACUUUCAUCUUGCGAUGUUCCAGAGAGUUUGGCUUGGUGGCUCAAAUAUGAAGGUAGUUAAGAGGUCUUCCUCUUAACCCUUUCCUGAAGUACAAGUGUUUCACCCUCUUACCUUAUUCUCGUAUACUUAUUCAUGUACAGCUUAUUCUCUUGUACCUAUUUUCGUACAGCUUCUUCUCUUGUACCUAUUCUUGUACACCUCUUUUCUAUUACCUUUAUUUGAGAACAAAUCUCACUACAUGCAAUUAGAGUAACGGUUACUUACAUUAAUAUUUUUCAUAAUAAUGUCAUUCAUUGGGCGCAUUAAAGCCUAUUCUUAUGUAACCGUCACUUUUAGCACUAUAUAUAGAGCCUCACAAUUCAUUUGGAAUGACUCUUCUUUUCCCCUCCAAGCUAACACAUUCUCAACUUGAGAGAGCUUCUCUUUCUAAAUUCUCUCUCUUAUUAUCUUGUACUCUCUAAGUCUCUUUAAGUCUCUUAUUAUUGUUUUCCAUCUGCCACAACACUUAGUAUUUCAAGAACUGCUUCAAUCUUCCUCUCUGCCACAUCUGGCACAUCCUUUUACUUGUUUGCAACGCUUCCUCUACCUAUCACAAGAACUCCCUUUACAGUUACCAAACUUAGCUUUUUGGCCAAGGGUUUUGGCUCCCUUGAUUGUUUCGCAACAGAUGUUUUGAUUGACAGAAGUACAUUAAGUCUCAUGGUUUCAGACGAACAAAAGAAUACUCAGGUUAGUAAAGCUAUCUUUUCUGGAUUGAAGUGCUUAUGGAAAACCGAAAAUGCUAUGCUUUCGUUCUUGGUGGACGGUGCUGCAUUUGAAACAAAUGCAGAGAGAGCUUCAUGGAACACUUUUUAGUCUGUUAAAAACAAUAUUCACACAGGUAUUGAGGUUGAUGAUUUCGUUGAAAUAUUGUCAGAGCUAGUACAACCUCUUGAGGAUUUUUUUAAUGAAGUAUUUGUGAUGGUGGUUAUGUUCAGUAGACCUAUUAGUUGGAUUAUGUCCCUCAAUGGUGAUGCAGUAGUUCCAUUUAUGUCUACUAGGAUUAUGAGUGGAAACUUAUCUUACGUUCUUCAUAAUACUUCGGUAGCUACUGUUAUGAUUAUUAGGUGGAUUAUGCUGCAUUUGAAACAAAUGAAGAGAGAGCUUUAUGGAACACUCCCUAGUUUGUUAAAAACAAUAUUCACCCUGGUCAUGUUCAGCAGACCUAUUCGUUGGAUUAUAACCCUCCAUGGGGAUGCAAUAGUUCCAUUUAUGUUUGUUGGAAUUAUGAGGUAAUUGUUAUUAUGGGGAUGCAAUUGUCUCAUGGUUUCACAUGAACAAAAGAAUAUUCAGAUAUUUCGUUGUGCACCGAAGAUGUCUGAAAGUUGGAAGAGACAGAAGCUUCUUUCAAGGGCUGAAUUCCAUGUUGGUGCUUGUGUGACUAAGUUCUUGCGGCUCCAGAUGCUUUCUACUUCAUCUGAUUGAACCAGUGCCACUGCAGGCUCUGAUAAAACCAAUCGAUUUUCUUUGUUAUUUGGUACUCUGGAUGGCAGCAUUGGCAGCAUAGCUCCUCUGGAUGAACUCACAUUUCGUAGAUUGCAAUCACUACAGAAAAAGCUUGUUGAUGCAGUUCCACAUUUCGCUGGCUUAAACCCAAGGUCUUUUCACCAGUUCCGUUCAAGUCGAAAGGCUUAUAGGCCUGGUCCUGACAGCAUAGUUGACUGUGAGCUGCUUUGCCAGUAAGUAACAUCUUUUUGUUUCUGAAAAAUACUACAGAAAGUACCAUUUUCUGAUAAUUAUUAACUUGAGCUCCAGUUUGAGAAAAGUUUGUUGCAUUUUCGUUUCUUUCCCCUGCCCUUUGCGCUGCUUUCUGCCUCUGGCUACCGAAGAAUAAUAGGAUUAUGACUUUUCUUCAUUCCCAAGCAUUAACAUUUGCAUUUAUUUUCAAGUUUUUGGUUGGUUUGCCUGACUAUGUUAUCAGAAUGCAUUACUCCACUAAAAUUCAAGACAAAAUUUUCCUCAUGAAAACUGGUAACAGAUAUUAUUAACUUUGUUUCUUUAAAUUAAUCUUCCAUUCAAAAUUCUUGAGAUGUUCUUUGGAAGAGUCUCAGUUGCAUUUGUUAGAUACUUAACCUAUAUCUUUAGCAUGAGAAUUCGUCAUUAAUACAAUUUGCUUAAAUUCUUUACAUCAAUAGUUCAUUUUGAUUACUUAAUUUCAACAUGUAUAAAGUACCUCAUUCCCCACAUCUCUGAUCUGAGCCUUGCUAUGAGAGUAAAGUGUCUAGCCUUGCUGCGAGCUGCUGUCUUACACUGUUUUGUAGUUAGAAAAUGUUUCCAUGGGAGGAACAGCUUUAUAUUGCUCACCAGAUUGGAACGACCCGUUCCCAAAUUCUCUCUAAUUUAAAUGAUCUUACUUUGGGUACAAGUUCCUUGUGAAUGCAGCAGAUACCAAGGCAAAUAUUAAAACAACAUUGACUGAGCCCAAAUCAUGAUGGGCUAUACCCGUUGCAGAAUGACACCAUUCAAAAGCUUCUGUAGAUCAGGGUUGAUAGUUUUAUUUUAUGAAACAUGAAGUGUCUGAUCCCGAGAAAGAGAAAAAAUGUUGUUUAGUCACUGUACCCAUCAAAUUUGAUGGAGUAGAAUCUUGUAUCUUAGAGCUAGAGUUCACUCUAAUGUAACACAGGAUUGAUGACUGACAUUGUGAAGAGUUAAGUAGAGUCUCCAAUUCUGUACUACUAUUUUAUUCAUUAACUUGCACUUUGGUGGCUGGCAGCCUGGAGUCUUUUGCUAGAAGCGGCUCCGGCCGUAAACUGGAGUUGCAGUUGUAACUGAUUCACCGUCAGCAGGUGUAAUUUUUUUUAUAUUCCAGGUGAAUCGUGCAGUGUUAAAAUGUUGCA